UACGUAGGGUGCGAGCGUUAAUCGGAAUUACUGGGCGUAAAGCGUGCGCAGGCGGUUCGUUGUGUCGGUGGUGAAAGCCCCCGGGCUUAACCUGGGAAUGGCCAUGGAAACUGGCGAACUGGAGUGUGGCAGAGGGGGGUGGAAUUCCGCGUGUAGCAGUGAAAUGCGUAGAGAUGCGGAGGAACACCGAUGGCGAAGGCAGCCCCCUGGGCUAGCACUGACGCUCAGGCACGAAAGCUAGGGGAGCAAACGGG
rnacentral:rRNA from 1 species